rnacentral:rRNA from 1 species
AACGAACGCUGGCGGCAGGCUUAACACAUGCAAGUCGAACGCCCCGCAAGGGGAGUGGCAGACGGGCGAGUAACGCGUGGGAACAUACCCUUUCCUGCGGAAUAGCUCUGGGAAACUGGAAUUAAUACCGCAUACGCCCUACGGGGGAAAGAUUUAUCGGGGAAGGAUUGGCCCGCGUUGGAUUAGCUAGUUGGUGGGGUAAAGGCCUACCAAGGCGACGAUCCAUAGCUGGUCUGAGAGGAUGAUCAGCCACAUUGGGACUGAGACACGGCCCAAACUCCUACGGGAGGCAGCAGUGGGGAAUAUUGGACAAUGGGCGCAAGCCUGAUCCAGCCAUGCCGCGUGAGUGAUGAAGGCCUUAGGGUUGUAAAGUUCUUUCACCGAUGAAGAUAAUGACGGUAGUCGGAGAAGAAGCCCCGGCUAACUUCGUGCCAGCAGCCGCAGUAAAAC